CAGCAGCCGCGGGAAUACAGAGGAUGUAAGCGUUAUCCGGAAUGAUUGGGCGUAAAGCGUCUGUAGGUGGCUUUUCACGUCCGCCGUCAAAUCCCAGGGCUCAACCCUGGACAGGCGGUGGACACUACCAAGCUGGAGUACGGUAGGGGCAGAGGGAAUUUUCGGUGGAGCGGUGAAAUGCGUUGAGAUCAGAAAGAACACCAACAGCGAAAGCACUCUACUGGGCUGACGCUGACACUGAGAGACGAACGCUAGGGGAGAAAAUGGGAUUAGAUACCCCCGUAGUCCCUGUCUCUUAUAC
rnacentral:rRNA from 1 species